rnacentral:rRNA from 1 species
UACGAAGGGUGCAAGCGUUAAUCGGAAUUACUGGGCGUAAAGGGUGCGUAGGCGGUUCGUUAAGUCUGUCGUGAAAUCCCCGGGCUCAACCUGGGAAUGGCGAUGGAUACUGGCGAGCUAGAGUAUGUCAGAGGAUGGUGGAAUUCCCGGUGUAGCGGUGAAAUGCGUAGAGAUCGGGAGGACCAUCAGUGGCGAAGGCGGCCAUCUGGGACACCCCUGACGGUGAAGCACGAAAGCGGGGGGAGCAAACAGG